UGCUUGUUCAGGUUCCAGAUUCUGAAUUCGACCUUCUCUUAACUCCGCAGAAUGCAGUUGAGAUGCAUAGAAAAAGUCUGGGACUACUUACACCUAUUUGCUAGCAUGUCUUUGAAGAAUGUUACUAGAGAGAAGCAGGUACAACCUUGUGAUUAUUAUGCUUUGAACUUGAUGCUGUGCUGAACACAUAAAAAGAGCCCUCAUGAUGAGAGAUUGGAAGGAGAAUGAAAGAAAGGAAGCAAGAUCAUCCAGAGAACCAUGAAGUAGUGACCUUCAGUGACCUUCAGUGAUGAGGUCUGGCAUUCAUCAGCAUUCACACAUCUGCAGAAGGGGUAUGAGGGAGAAAUGACUUCAUUAAUUAUUGUGUCACCAAGUUUUUCUUCUCUUGAUUCCUAAGAAGAAGAAACAGAGAUUACAUGUGUUUACUUAAGGGUAAGCACUAACUGAAUGCUUACUGAGUGGCUAGAUGAAUAUCUAAAAAAAAAAAUGGUUUCUGUAGGCGUUGGAUUCUGCUCAAUGCUUAUGCCCACCCAGAAUGCUCUAUAAAACCUUCACUGUUGUUCUCAGGAUCAGCCUUCCUGAAUUCAUCCUAUAAACUUUUAAUGAGUGACCUGUUUGUAAAACUCCCUUCCAGAUUGGCAAAUACAAGUUGAUAGAGAACUUCAAUGCCUUUUUUCUUCUAACCUCCCUUUCCUUAUACUUUCCCCUAUUGAAUCUUACCAGAGGGAACACACACACACACACACACACAGAGUAAACUCAUCAGCCAAAAAAACUUUUAAAAAGUAAAAAUAAAAAAUAAAAAAAUACAGGACUCAAAACAGCAGUCCACAGCAUUUUUGUGCUGUGAUUUCUGAGGGAAAUGAAUUAGGCACAUUGUUUAGUUUGUUUGUUUGUUUUUGUUUUUUAACAGUAUCUGCUUUUGCCUAUGUGGAAGUCUUUGAUGUAAAACAAAAGCUCUUGAUGAAGUGCUAGAACGUACCUAAUUGUUGAGGUGUAGAGA
rnacentral:lncRNA from 1 species